rnacentral:rRNA from 1 species
AUACGUAGGGUGCAAGCGUUGUCCGGAAUUAUUGGGCGUAAAGAGCUCGUAGGCGGCUUGUCGCGUCGGUUGUGAAAGCCCGGGGCUUAACCCCGGGUCUGCAGUCGAUACGGGCAGGCUAGAGUUCGGCAGGGGAGACUGGAAUUCCUGGUGUAGCGGUGAAAUGCGCAGAUAUCAGGAGGAACACCGGUGGCGAAGGCGGGUCUCUGGGCCGAUACUGACGCUGAGGAGCGAAAGCGUGGGGAGCGAACA